rnacentral:rRNA from 1 species
AGUACCGUGAGGGAAAGGUGAAAAGAACCCCGGGAGGGGAGUGAAAUAGAACCUGAAACUGUGUGCUUACAAGCGGUCAGAGCUCUUCGGAGUGAUGGCGUGCCUUUUGGAGAAUGAUCCUGCGAGUUACGUUCAGUGGCGAGGUUAAGUAUAACGGAGCCGAAGGGAAACCGAGUCUGAAUAGGGCGACAUAGUCGCUGGGCGUAGACGCGAAACCUGGUGAUCUAAGCCUGUCCAGGGUGAAGCUGUGGUAAGACACAGUGGAGGCCCGAACUCACCGCCGUUGAAAAGUUGGGAGAUGAGGUAGGUUUAGGGGUGAAAAGCCAAUCGAACUAGGAGAUAGCUCGUUCUCUCCGAAAUGCAUUUAGGUGCAGCCUUGAGUGUUUAAUUAUGGGGGUAGAGCACUGAAUGAACUAGGGGGCAUAUUGCUUACUGAAUUCAAUCAAACUCCGAAUACCAUAAUUCAAAGCUCAGGAGUGAGACUAUGGGAAUUAACUUCCAUUGUCAAAAGGGAAACAGCCCAGACCACCAGCUAAGGUCCCUAAUUAUAACUAAGUGGGAAAGGAGGUGGAGAUUCACAAACAACCAGGAGGUUGGCUUAGAAGCAGCCAUCCUUUAAAGAUAGCGUAAUAGCUCACUGGUCUAGUGAUUUUGCGCGGAAAAUAUAACGGGGCUAAAAUAAGUACCGAAGUCGUAGAUUUACACAAUAGUGUAAGUGGUAGAAGAGCGUUGUAUUUAGCGUUGAAGGCGUACCGGUAAGGAGCGCUGGAGCAUAUACAAGUGAGCAUGCAGGCAUGAGUAGCGAUAAUUAAUGUAAGAAUCAUUAACGCCGAAAACCCAAGGUUUCCUACGCGAUGCUCGUCAUCGUAGGGUUAGUCGGGUCCUAAGCAAAGUCCGAAAGGGGUAUGCGAUGGAAAAUCGGUUAAUAUUCCGAUACCAACAUUAUUGUGCGAUGGAAGGACGCUUAAAGUUAAUGGGGCUAAGUGAUGGAAUACUUAGUCUAAGGAUGUAGGUUAAGUUGUAGGCAAAUCCGCAACUUUUUAUCCGAGAUCUAAAAGGCUUACAAAACUCUUCGGAGUAGCGUAAGAACCCAUGAUACUAUCGAGCCGAGAAAAGUUUCUAAGUUUAGAUAAUGUUGCCCGUACCGUAAACCGACACAGGUGGGUGGGAUGAGUAUUCUAAGGCGCGUGGAAGAACUCUCUUUAAGGAACUCUGCAAAAUAGCACCGUAUCUUCGGUAUAAGGUGUGCCUAACUUUGUGAAAGAUUUACUCUAUAAGCAAAGAAGGUUACAACAAAGAGUCCCUCCCGACUGUUUACCAUAAACACAGCACUCUGCUAACACGUAAGUGGAUGUAUAGGGUGUGACGCCUGCCCGGUGCUCGAAGGUUAAUUGAUGAUGUCAGGAGUAAUCCAAAGCAUUUGAUCGAAGCCCGAGUAAACGGCGGCCGUAACUAUAACGGUCCUAAGGUAGCGAAAUUCCUUGUCGGUUAAAUACCGACCUGCAUGAAUGGCGUAACGAGAUGGGAGCUGUCUCAAAGAGGGAUCCAGUGAAAUUGUAGUGGAGGUGAAAAUUCCUCCUACCCGCGGCAAGACGGAGAGACCCCGUGGACCUUUACUACAGCUUGACACUGCUACUUGGAUAAAGAUGCGCAGGAUAGGUGGUAGGCUUUGAUCUAUAGACUCCGGUUUAUAGUGAGCCAUUGGUGAGAUACCACUCUUCUUUAUUCGAUUAGCUAACUAGCAUAAGUUAUCCUUAUGUAGGACAAUGUCUGGUGGGUAGUUUGACUGGGGCGGUCGCCUCCCAAAUAAUAACGGAGGCUUACAAAGGUUGGUUCAUAGCGGUUGGAAAUCGCUAGUAGAGUAUAAAGGUAUAAACCAGCUUAACUGCGAGACAUACAGGUCGAGCAGAGACGAAAGUCGGACUUAGUGAUCCGGUGGUACCGAGUGGAAGGGCCAUCGCUCAACGGAUAAAAGCUACCCUGGGGAUAACAGGCUUAUCUCCCCCAAGAGUUCACAUCGACGGGGAGGUUUGGCACCUCGAUGUCGGCUCGUC